UGGGGAAUUUUGGACAAUGGGCGCAAGCCUGAUCCAGCCAUGCCGCGUGCGGGAAGAAGGCCUUCGGGUUGUAAACCGCUUUUGUCAGGGAAGAAAUCUUCUGAGUUAAUACCUCGGGAGGAUGACGGUACCUGAAGAAUAAGCACCGGCUAACUACGUGCCAGCAGCCGCGGUAAUACGUAGGGUGCAAGCGUUAAUCGGAAUUACUGGGCGUAAAGCGUGCGCAGGCGGUUUUGUAAGACAGAGGUGAAAUCCCCGGGCUCAACCUGGGAACUGCCUUUGUGACUGCAAGGCUUGAGUGCAGCAGAGGGGGGAUGGAAUUCCGCGUGUAGCAGUGAAAUGCGUAGAUAUGCGGAGGAACACCGAUGGCGAAGGCAAUCCCCUGGGCCUGCACUGACGCUCAUGCACGAAAGCGUGGGGAGCAAACAGGAUUAGAUACCCUGGUAGUCCACGCCCUAAACGAUGUCAACUGGUUGUUGGGAAGGUUCCUUCUCAGUAACGUAGCUAACGUGUGAAGUUGACCGCCUGGGGAGUACGGCCGCAAGGUUG
rnacentral:rRNA from 1 species